AUAUCAAUAAGCGGAGGAAAAGAAACCAACAGGGAUUGCCCUAGUAACGGCGAGUGAAGCGGCAACAGCUCAAAUUUGAAAUCUGGCUUUCGGGCCCGAGUUGUAAUUUGUAGAGGAUGACUUUGAUGCGGUGCCUUCCGAGUUCCCUGGAACGGGACGCCAUAGAGGGUGAGAGCCCCGUCUGGUUGGAUGCCAAAUCUCUGUAAGUCUCCUUCGACGAGUCGAGUAGUUUGGGAAUGCUGCUCUAAAUGGGAGGUAUAUGUCUUCUAAAGCUAAAUACCGGCCAGAGACCGAUAGCGCACAAGUAGAGUGAUCGAAAGAUGAAAAGCACUUUGAAAAGAGAGUUAAAAAGUACGUGAAAUUGUUGAAAGGGAAGCGUUUAUGACCAGACUUGGGCUUGGUUAAUCAUCUGGGGUUCUCCCCAGUGCACUUUUCCAGUCCAGGCCAGCAUCAGUUUUCGCCGGGGGAUAAAGACUUCGGGAAUGUGGCUCCUCUCGGGGAGUGUUAUAGCCCGUUGUGUAAUACCCUGGCGGGGACUGAGGUUCGCGCUUCUGCAAGGAUGCUGGCGUAAUGGUCAUCAACGAC
rnacentral:rRNA from 1 species